rnacentral:rRNA from 1 species
UACCUGCAGCCCAAGUGGUGAUCCCUAUUAUUGGGCCUAAAACGUCCGUAGCCGGUUCUAUAAAUGCCUGGGUAAAUCGUACGGCUUAACCGUACGAAUUCCGGGUAGACUGUUCAACUUGGGACCGGGAUAGGCUAGAGGUACUCCUGGGGUAGAGGUGAAAUUCUGUAAUCCUAGGGGGACCACCAGUGGCGAAGGCGUCUAGCUAGAACGGGUCUGACGGUGAGGGACGAAGCCUUGGGGAGCAAACGGGAUUAGAUACCCCGGUAGUCCAGGGUGUAAACGCUGCUCGCUUGAUGUUAGUCGGGCUCCGAGCCCAACUAGUGUCGGAGAGAAGUUGUUAAGCGAGCUGCCUGGGAAGUACGGUCGCAAGACUGAAACUUAAAGGAAUUGGCGGGGAGCACCACAAGGCGUGGAGCGUGCGGUUU